AAAUUCAAAGAAGAUUUGGACAAAUUACUGGCCCUCCUUAGAACUCAACUCUUCCUUUAAGGGAGCAUAAUUAUUUCGUAGGCCUGUGAACAUUUUAAGGGAGCAUAAAUAUAUCGUAUAGGCCUGUGAACAUUUAAUCAAGAAUUAAGAAUGUUUUAAUUUUAUCUUUAAAUGAAAUGACUAUCGAUUUUGAAUAUUUCAAGUAAAAAAGUAUGUAAUUAGCAAAAGAAUUAGCUUACUACUAUAGUGUUAUAGUGACUAGAACUUAUCCAAUUGGAUGUAAUUGUAACAAUUUUCCCCAUAAUAAAUACAAAGGUGAAAGGGUACUCUUCAAAAAUGUUGAAUCAUAAUGAAACACAACUAAAUGUGUGCUGCCAUCUAGUGGUAGAAAGCGAAUAGGCCAACCGGUAGUUUAUUUUCAAAUUCAAAUCUUCACUCAGACUCUGUGAUGAUCAGCUCAACGGCGCAUAUUUCAAUCAUUACUUUGCCAUUUCGCCAGACUUGUCUUCCUGUAAAACCCACAGUAUGGGUAAUAAGGGGUAGAUUUACACCAGGAAAGGACAAUUUCAAGAGUAAUUCCAGGGCAAGAAUUGAAAGAACAAAAUGAAAGGAUCGAAUUUAUUACCAAGAUUAGGCCUACAGUCCCACACUAGCACUCUUGUGUUGGAGAAAUACGAUCAACUUGCUUUGCACUACAUGCACUGGACUGCUACUGCUAGCUGCUGGAGCUACUUUAAAGAUCUUCAUUUUGAAGGGUAUCUUAGCUUCGGCUGCUGGAAAGUCAUCAACUUGGACUGUGUGGCACUGGCACCCUUGUCUUCUAGAGUACAUGUACAUACAGUCUUAAUUUGUUAGACUGAACUGUCCAACACACAUCUAGGAAAUGCAAGACAUGGGUGAAAGUAUUAGAAUCAUACAUGGUUAAUGACUUAUUGUUCAUCUGUAAUUAAUGGAAAGCAUUUCAAAAUGAUGCCAAUAAUGCCGUCCAACAAACAUUCAGCAAGUACUUCCAGGU